GUUACCAUUGUUUGUUUGUUUGACGCUGAUUGCUUUGACAUGAAGAGUUGAAAAGGUCCUACUGGCAGGCAAGCCUGCCGAGGAAACAAAGGGUGCGCAAAAAACAGGGUUGAAUAGAACCGGUCAGACCGGCCUACCAUACGUAAUGAUCCUUCCGCAGGUUCACCUACGGAAA
rnacentral:misc_RNA from 1 species